rnacentral:lncRNA from 10 species
CUUCCGCAUUGCGCCGCGGCCGGGGGCGGAAGAUCCGCCCCGCGCGAGGGAAGGGGCGGGGCAUCAGGAGGGAGACCACGCCCACUCUGCGCCGACCGGCUGGGCCUGGCACCCGCGGGCGGCCCCAGCCUCAGUCUCCAGCUACCUUUGCCUCCUGCGGCCGCCCCCAGGCAGAGCUGCGAUCCCACCGCCGGGGGUGCAGGGAGAGGGAAGAUCUGGCCUCCUUGGUCCUUUUGCGUGGGCUCUUCAGAGCGUGAGCGCCGGGGAGGGACUCCGGAGAAAAGCUUGGGGGGCUGCGUAUUGCUGCUCCCCAAGCUGGGCGUCAGGACCAACCCCGCCGCCCCCACGGGCCUGACGGGAGAGGAGGAAGGGCUCGGGACGGUCGGCUCGCCGAGCCAACCAGGUGGCGCCUGAAGAGCUGUCCAUGGUGUCGACAGCCCAGCAAACGGCACCGAGUUCCUAGUCUGAGUGUCUGGAUAGGUAGCAGAAGAAAAACUAAUGCCUGCUCUGGGACAGUUCUGUUCGGUGCCUUUUCUUGUGUGUUCUGGAGCUCACAGGGUUCUAUCGAAGAGUGCUUAGGUGUAUACGAUGGAGAGUGGGACGUCACAAACCAGGAUCUCAAGGCUGAGUCCAACAAAACAUGGCCGUAGGGAGGCCACGACAGCUGUGGUUGUCACCGACGGAUGAAUAGCUUUUGCCAACCGUGGAAUUUAGUAACUAAAGGCACCUAACCCUUUUAUCUCAUCCUCAUUUUUCAACAAAUGGUGCUUCCUGGCUAAUAUCAGCGUGUCCCAUAGAUUUCUGCUUCCAUUGAAUAGACCUAAUAAGAAAGAGAAUGAAGUCAAAGCCAACAGGGCAGAAAGAAAUUGAAAACCUGAAGAACCCAGCACUCAAACUGUCUCCACUUGCGUUUGCUUUUUCUUUACCUCUUCUCCUUCUGGUUUUCAACAGCCAAAGCAGGAUUUAAAUUUGGUUAUGUUGCAAAAAUCAUUUCCCUCUUCAGGCCCUGUCAUGUGACUUGAUUUUUUCGUCCAUUUUAGAGAAGCUGUACCCACCCUGGUUUCAGGACACGGAACUAAAUUUAUUAGAAAAGAAGCCACUUCAAGUCAUGAAGGAGAAACACAAAGAUUCUUGGAUUUAGUUCUAAGAACUAGAGGGGAUUUCUAUGUCAGUACUGUCUCAGAAAAAACUGUUGAUAUCAAAUGUGUUGCUUGAGAAGUACCUUUUUUUUUUUGAGACGGAGUCUCGCUCUGUCCGCCCAGGCUAGAGUGCAGUGGCGCGAUCUCGGCUCACUGCAAGCUCCGCCUCCCGGGUUCACGCCGUUCUCCUGCCUCAGCCUCCCGAGUAGCUGGGAUUACAGGUGCCCACCACCACGCCCGGCUAAUUUUUGUAUUUUUAGUAGAGACAGGGUUUCACCGUGUUAGCCAGGAUGGUCUCGAUCUCCUGACCUCGUGAUCCACCCGCCUCGGCCUCCCAAAGUGCUGGGAUAACAGGCGUGAGCCAUCGCGCCCGGCCGAGAGGUACCUUUUAUGACAACUGAAAUCAUUCAGUUUCAAGAGGAGUUGGGUACUGAAACCAAACUUGCUUACUCCAAAGCCCAAAAUCCUUUCCACCAUGCCUGUGUGUCUGUAAGGCUACACUAGAAAUGCUUCCUUUCUUAUAGUGGGAAGCAUGGGUACUAAGCUCUUUUACGAACAAGUGUUCUGCAUAUUCCUGGUUCCUUUUUAUUUUGGACUGAGGAGAUUUAGGUCAAAAUUUCUGGGUUCUGGGUUGGAAUUCCAGCUUCUUUCUUCAAAUUAAACUGGGGGGUAGCAAGACUUAUUCCUAGAUUUGUUAGAAGGCCACAGCUUUUCCACAUCUCAUUUUAGUCAUGAAAAAGACACAUGCCCAGAGUUUGAAAAACAUAAAGGCAAUUUGACUAGUGGCUUGAUUGGUUCUAUCUUCUUUUUCUUGUCCCUCUUUCCUAUUUAUACUUCUACUUUUGUUACAGCAUUUGACAAUAGUUGGAAAAAUUUUCACUGACCUUGAAAUGUCUUUGGGAUAGGGUGACUUAAAAUAUAGGUUAAGUGGCAUACACAAACUUCUUAGUGAGAUCCUAAGGGCCUACAGAGACAGGCUGACACCAACUCAACCCUUGAAACUGUGCAAUGAAGAGCCUGUGGGAGGCUAAAAAACGCUACUUCAAAAAGAGAUCCUUGUCUGUGAAUGUUAAUUUAGGUUUACAGAUUUGAUUAAGGGUCUUGAGAUUAUUUUCAAUUAUCCAGGUGGGCCCUAGAGCCCUAGAUGCAAUCAUAAGUGUCCUUAUAACAGGGAGGCAGAGGAAAAUUAAACACGCACACAGGAGAGAGAGAGAGAGAAAAAAAAGUGAUGUGAAGACAGCAGCAGAGAUUGGAGCGAUGUGGCCAUAGCCAAGCUAUGUCAGCAGCCAUCAGAAGUUGGAAGAGGCAAGGAAGGAUUUGAGCCUAGAGCCUUUGGAAGGAGCAUGGCCCUGUUGGUUCUGGCCUCCAGAACUGCAAGAAAAUACAUUUUUGUUGUUUUAAACCACCCAGUUCAUGGUAAUUUGUAACACCAGCUACAAGAAAUUAACACAAGGCUGAUGUGACUUUCCAUCAGGAGAGAGACAGCCCCAGGUGAGACCUGCCUGCCUCAUUGUCUGACAGCUUUCCCAGCCUCCUCCAGGCUCCCCUCCGUUUUCUCUUAUACGCAUUCCCCCAAUAAACUUCCUGUACAUUUAAUACCAUCUCAGUGUCUGCUCCCAGGAGGACCCUAACUGACACACUGGGGCAUUUAGCCUCCAAUUCCUUUUCUCCCUUGGCUGAGAUCUGUUCCAGGAAGUAUCUCCAGGACACUCCAGCCUGUUGCACAGGCCAAAGAAAAGCCCUCAGGCAGAGGAGCAAAUACUUGCAAGAGGACACCAGUGGCAAGAACAGGGACAUGCCACCCUGUGAAGACGUGCCUUUCGUCAAGAUUGUAAGUUUCCUGAGGCCUUCCCACCCAUGCGGAACUGUGAGUCAAUUAAACCUCUUUAUAAAUUACCUAGUCUCAAGUAUGUCCCUAUAACAGCGUGAGAAUGAACUAAUACAAAUAUGUAGGGAUAAGAUAAAAUUAACAGAGCAAAUACAGUGCAUGACACUGUUCUGCAUAUUAUGUCCUGAUCAAGGGUACACAUGGGCCUGCUCACAGUCCCACUUUAUUAGAGUCAUUUGAAAUGCUGCAAAUUUAGUCGUCAGGAAAAUA